UACAGAGGGGGCAAGCGUUGUUCGGAAUUACUGGGCGUAAAGGGCGCGUAGGCGGCCAGCACAAGUCAGUUGUGAAAUCUCCGAGCUUAACUCGGAAAGGUCAACUGAUACUGUGCGGCUAGAGUGCGGAAGGGGCAACUGGAAUUCUUGGUGUAGCGGUGAAAUGCGUAGAUAUCAAGAGGAACACCUGCGGCGAAGGCGGGUUGCUGGGCCGACACUGACGCUGAUGCGCGAAAGCCAGGGGAGCGAACGGG
rnacentral:rRNA from 1 species